GACGAACGCUGGCGGCGUGCCUAAUACAUGCAAGUAGAACGCUGAAGAGAGGAGCUUGCUCUUCUUGGAUGAGUUGCGAACGGGUGAGUAACGCGUAGGUAACCUGCCUGGUAGCGGGGGAUAACUAUUGGAAACGAUAGCUAAUACCGCAUAAAAUGGAUUAUCGCAUGAUAAUCCAUUGAAAGGUGCAAAUGCAUCACUACCAGAUGGACCUGCGUUGUAUUAGCUAGUUGGUGGGGUAACGGCUCACCAAGGCGACGAUACAUAGCCGACCUGAGAGGGUGAUCGGCCACACUGGGACUGAGACACGGCCCAGACUCCUACGGGAGGCAGCAGUAGGGAAUCUUCGGAAAUGGACGGAAGUCUGACCGAGCAACGCCGCGUGAGUGAAGAAGGUUUUCGGAUCGUAAAGCUCUGUUGUGAGAGAAGAACGAGUGUGAGAGUGGAAAGUUCACACUGUGACGGUAUCUUAACAGAAAGGGACGGCUAACUACGUG
rnacentral:rRNA from 1 species